rfam:Acidomyces richmondensis BFW scaffold_1292, whole genome shotgun sequence.
GGUGGCGUGGCGGAGUGGUUAACCGCUACCGGAAGCCUUCGGAUCAGAUUGGGCACCUGUUUCGAAGGUCGUGGGUUCGAUUCCCACAGCCACCC